rnacentral:rRNA from 1 species
UGCCAGCAGCCGCGGUAAUACGGAGGGUGCAAGCGUUAAUCGGAAUUACUGGGCGUAAAGGGUGCGUGGGCGGCCUGUUAAGUCGGAUGUGAAAGCCCUGGGCUCAACCUGGGAAUUGCAUUCGAUACUGGCAGGCUAGAAUCUGAUAGAGGGUAGUGGAAUUCCCGGUGUAGCGGUGAAAUGCGUAGAGAUCGGGAGGAACAUCAGUGGCGAAGGCGGCUCCCUGGCCAAAGACUGACGGCUCAUGUGCGAAAGUGUGGGUAGCGAACAGGAUUAGAUA